AAAUUGAUUCUUCCUCCUUAUUUUCAUCUUCAUCUCCAACUCAAAAUCCACAACCCAACAACUCAAGAUCAUCAUCAACAUAAAAAAUUCUAAAUUUUCUCAAAACUCUAUAACCAAAUUGAAGAAAGAUUUAAAAAACCCCAAAAAAAAUAACAACAAAGGAAAAAAUUGAAAUCAAUUGUGAAAAGAAGAAUAAAAAAUAGAAACAAAAUUUCAAUUUUAACACACCACAACAUUACAACAUCAGAGGGCACUAAUUGGAAGCUCAUUAUUUCUCAUAAGACAACUUAAACUAGAUACGAAAUAACAUAAUAACCAAGCCUAAAUUCACUUCAGCCACACUUGAAAUAAGCAAAAAUCUCAGCCCAUGCAUGAAUUGCAUGAUGACUAUUGCUGUAACAAUAGAAAGGAGACAAAUCUGUUGAAAAAGCAAACACAAAUCUGAAGCUGAAAUCAUGAGAAAGAAAGAAAAACCUAAAAGCUUCUAAAACAGACAACAAGCAAACCUCCAAUCCGAAAUUCAAUUUAGAAAUGAAGAUGGGUGAGUGAAUGGGGGGACGAUAGUUCCUUCAGUCGGCUCAAAUCCACAAAACCCUCAUUUUGAAACCCCCACCAAGCUCUAAUUUUGGUACUAGAAACAAAAGAGUAAACCUUCAUUUGGGUCCCUGAAAGUGUACCUCGCUAUCAAACAUGUCCCUGGAUCAAGAAAUCGAACCAUCAUCAUCUUUCUCAAAACUAAACAUCAACAACAACACCAUUAUCUUCUUUAUGAAAAACCAACAACACCAACUCUCAUACGUAGGGUUCUUCAUUUUCUUCGUCGUGUAUGUGAUUGUGGUGUUUGUGUUGUUGGUGUUUAUUGAUUCCUUUU
rnacentral:lncRNA from 1 species